rnacentral:lncRNA from 13 species
CAAUCCCGUGUUUGUCAGUUGGGGACCAGCAAUCAACCCGUUUUGCUGGAUGGAUACUUGUAGUCCACUUCUCAGCAAGCACACCGCUCCACAUAUACAGUCCCUUCACAACGUUCACAGGUACAUAUUACAUUUCUGUAUAAAGUAAAUAACUCACAACCAUCCAAGAUUCCAACAAUUUAUACUCAGGCCUUUAUUUGGACAGCCCUAAUUUUCUCCUCUUCUGCCAAUCCCGUGUUUGUCAGUUGGGGACCAGCAAUCAACCCGUUUUGCUGGAUGGAUACUUGUAGUCCACUUCUCAGCAAGCACACCGCUCCACAUAUACAGUCCCUUCACAACGUUCACAGCCCUUUUAACUUUUCCACAUUUUGUGUUACAGACAGAAUUUAAUAUGAAUUACAUUUUAGAUUUUUGUUAUUGAUAACCAUAAUGUCAAAAGUGGUCAUUUUGUUUGCAGAACAUGUUUUUUAAAAUGCUGAAACUAUUCCCCCCCUUUUGUUACGACUAACUUAAGUUCAGGAGUAAAAGUGUUAAACAAGUCACAUGGACUCACUGUGUUCAAUAAUAGUGGUUAACAUGAUUUUUGAAUGACUACCCCCACACAUACAGGUAAGGCCCCUCAAUCGAGUAGUGAAUUGCAAGCACAGAUUCAACCACAACGACCAGGGAGGUUUUUCCAAUGCCUUCCAAAGAAGGGCACCUAUUGGUAGAUGGGUAAAAAAUAAAAAAAAGCUAAAUAUCCCUUGGAGCAUGGCAAAGUUAUUUAUUACACUUUGUANNNNNNNNNNAAAUCGGCAGUGUAUCAAAUACUUGUUCUCCCCACUGAAUAUGGCUCUGACUGGAGCUAGUAACUAUUGAAGAUAUUAAUCUGAAUAACUUCAGAUUGACUUGGCUUAAAACAGCUUUACACAGAGGAGUUUAGGUCAGUCAUCCACAAACGUUCUGCACUAGUGGUAUGAACAUUUAUUUGGGUUAAUUCACCUUGGUCAGACGACCACAACAGUCACAGGUACAUAUUACAUUUCUGUAUAAAGUAAAUAACUCACAACCAUCCAAGAUUCCAACAAUUUAUACUCAGGCCUUUAUUUGGACAGCCCUAAU